CCCCGGCUUUUACCGAGGGGACGGACUUUGGGGCCAAAGCCAGGGUGUGCAAGGCUGGUGGGAACGCGCUGCCUGAAUAUGGCCAAGUCUCCGGCAGAACAGCAUUUAAGCUUCGAACAUGUGAUACGUGACUGGAUGGAAUUCCUGGAGAACUGUAUUAACACGUUUCAAAGAGUUGAAUCCUGAGACUUGAAUAGAAACAUUGGCUCUUCCUGGAUCUCCAGCCUGCCAGCCUUUGAACUAGAACUAUACUGUUGGCUCUCUUGGGUCUCCAGCUGACUGACUACAGAUCUUGGGACUCGUCAGCCUGCAUAAUCAUGGGAGUGACGUUAGCAUCGUGGCUGAAAAAUAUGUCCCUCUUUUGUGCCCCGCUCCCAACCCCAGCAACAAUUUGGCAUCUAUCCAUGGAAAAAAAAAAGUGCCUUGGUGAGAGCUGUGGGAUUCAGCACCAAACACAAAGCGACCUGGCAGGAGUCUCAGCCACCCAUGUGUCAGAUGAUAGGCAUAUAGACCUCAGUCCCAGCUGUGGACACU